rnacentral:rRNA from 1 species
UACGUAGGGUGCAAGCGUUGUCCGGAAUUAUUGGGCGUAAAGAGCUCGUAGGCGGUUUGUCGCGUCUGCUGUGAAAACCCGAGGCUCAACCUCGGGCCUGCAGUGGGUACGGGGCAGACUAGAGUGCGGUAGGGGAGAUUGGAAUUCCUGGUGUAGCGGUGGAAUGCGCAGAUAUCAGGAGGAACACCGAUGGCGAAGGCAGGUCUCUGGGCAUUAACUGACGCUGAGGAGCGAAAGCGUGGGGAGCAAACAGG